UACACAUCGCCCGUCACUCUCACCUAGCUUCCCAAAAGCGAGAUGAGAAAAGUCGUAACAUAGUAGGUGUAUCGGAAGAUGCACCUGGAAGU
rnacentral:rRNA from 1 species